rnacentral:rRNA from 1 species
CGAAGCACCUUGAUUUGAUUCUUCGGAUGAAGAUCUUGGUGACUGAGUGGCGGACGGGUGAGUAACGCGCGGGUAACCUGCCUCAUACAGGGGGAUAACAGUUAGAAAUGACUGCUAAUACCGCAUAAGACCACAGCACCGCAUGGUGCAGGGGCAAAAACUCCGGUGGUAUGAGAUGGACCCGCGUCUGAUUAGGUAGUUGGUGGGGUAACGGCCUACCAAGCCGACGAUCAGUAGCCGACCUGAGAGGGUGACCGGCCACAUUGGGACUGAGACACGGCCCAAACUCCUACGGGAGGCAGCAGUGGGGAAUAUUGCACAAUGGGGGAAACCCUGAUGCAGCGACGCCGCGUGAGCGAUGAAGUAUUUCGGUAUGUAAAGCUCUAUCAGCAGGGAAGAAAAUGACGGUACCUGACUAAGAAGCACCGGCUAAAUACGUGCCAGCAGCCGCGGUAAUACGUAUGGUGCAAGCGUUAUCCGGAUUUACUGGGUGUAA